UUCUAUGCAGAGCUUAGUGAGGGUGGGGAGCUCCGAGGCUGCGAGUUUAGAGAAGCUGAAGGAGAACUAAAUCUGAUAGGAACCGGGUGCCCAAUUCGCUUCUCUGUUUUGAACCUCUCAUUUGCACGGAGCAUCGUCUGGGCAGGCAUGAGGCUGCUCCAGCAUGGAUGUGUUGCAGAUGUGCUGAUAGCAGUGAGCUGAGUGCUGACACUGCUGUGGAGAAGGUGCAGUGUCUGGAAAUCUUCAGGAGCUCUAAAUGUUUGGAGUUUGCCAUGCUGUUUUGCUGUGUUUCAGUCCUUUGGAGGUGGAGUGACCUCCCAUGAUUUUCUGAGACCCAAAGGAGCUGAGGAGCUACAGGAGCAGUGUACAUUGGGGUGCCCAGCUCUGGAUUCACAUCCCUGCUGCUUGGAGAAGCCAAACAACCCUGAAGGGACCACGGAGACUCGAGAGCCAGCCUCAAGCCUGUCCCUGCCAGUGACAAGAAACACCUUGAUGAACUCUAAGCAAAGGUGAGACUCCAAACAAACCCUUUGCAACCAAACCCUCUGGAAACCAAACCUCUUCUUUGCCCCGGGGCAAAGUGUUUCUCCGGUGACUAAAUUUGGAAAAAAACAGGAUUGUUUGAAACGUCCCCUGUUGUUCCUGCCUCCCGCCAGGAAUUACAAAAAAGAAAAUAAAUACCCGAUUUUUUUAUUGAAACUUUGAAAGUUCCCCUGGGAAGAGCAGACACCGUUUGCCCCAGCCCAGUCCCUCCGUGCUCCGGUCCCUGCGGGGCCGGGCAGCCGGCGCUGCUCUCCGGCCAGCUGCAGCCAGAGAUGUGCUGAGCCUUUCCAGACAACAAAAGCUCUCUGGCUGCCUGAUUUCCCUCUGCCUUAUCUCCCUCCGCGAUAGCCAGGUUAUCGGGAAAUGGAAAAGGGCGCAGGACAGCCUGACCCCAAUCCCUGGGGGACAGGAGAUGGUGGCGGGUGGGGGGGCGAAGCUUUGCAUGGGCGGGGGGCUGUCAGCACUCAGGGGUCCCAUCCUUUUUCUCCUACUGACACCUUCCUUGCUUGAGGUGGGAAGAGCAAAACCUCUUCGGGGAGCAGCUUUGGAGCGUGGGUGAGCACCGGGAGCUCCGGUCCCCUCCUGGACCCAGCCGGGGGCAGCGGCGGGGGCUGAGCCCCGGCGGGGUGGGCGGAGGAGCUGCGGGGCUGGGCGGUGGGAGAGCAGCCCCAGCACCGCGCUUGUCACCCAGACAAGAGAUCAAUAACUAAUUUCACUGCAGCAGCAGCGCCGGGUUUUUUCCAAUAAUUGUGAGCCGGCGGUGGGGAAUGAGGCUCUCAGCACCGCUCCACACCAGCCUGCACCCGAUCAAUCGCCACACCGCUGGGGCAGCAGGAAAACUAAUUUUUCUCCUUUUCUUCCCUCUCCUCCCUUCUCUCCUUCCUUAUCCCACUCCAUUCCCUCCUCCUCCUGCUGUGGCGCUGCCUGAGCUAAGGGCUGUGUCCCCACGCCGGGUGGGAUGUGAGCUUGGGCUUUCCCGAGCUGGCCCCACGGUGCUGGGGACAACGGCUGAGCCUCCUGUGCUGCCUCAACAGCCCGGAGCACUUUGGUCCCUGUCACCCACGGGCUGGACCCGGCUCCUUGUGCAGAGCACCGGCCCCAACAGCUUGGGUGAAGGUGGCAGAGGUGAGAUUUCUCCUCUCCUUGUGGGAUAAGGGGCUCCUAGGGAUGCUUUGGCUGCUGUGUUGUGACUUUUGGUGGCCUGUUGGUGCCUUUGUGUGGUCCAAAUGUGACUCUUACAUUUUAUGGCCUUUUUUCCCCUGGGUUUUUAUUCCCUGAGUGAUUGGUUUGUUCCAGGUCAAGGAUCCUACCGAGUUUCUCCUGUCACUAUCCUUUAUCCCUUCUGCCUCUGCAACCCGGCAGUGCCUCAGUUUCCCUCUAUAUCUAUGGCAGAGGGGGCUGAGAACAUCCCUUCCUGCUCCUUCCCAUGCUGUUAUGAGCCACCAGGAGUCCCAGGCAGAAGGUGUUGCUGGUUCCCAGCUCACAGGGUAGUGUGUGGUUUUGGGGUCCCCAGGACCAUGGAGUCCCACAAUCCCUGUGUCUGUGAGGUGGAGAGAGGGGUGCUGCAUACUUAGUAUCUCCCUGGGACUGAGAGAUGCUCCAAGGUGGGGUCUGGAGGCACCUCUGGAUUUCUUCAGCACCUCCAAUGGGCUGUGUAUGAGGUGCUUGGGUGGGGCAGGGAGGAAGACUCAGCUGUGAGUCUGUCACUGCAGCACCUUCCAAGCCCAUCCAAGACCUGUACACCCCAAUGAAGGUGGCAGCAGUGCAGCCCCUUGUUCUUUUCCCCUAUUUAAGAGCCCUCUCACUGAUUCCUGGGGAACAUCCCCAUGAAUUAAAGACUGCCUUUGCUGUGGAGCACUGAGAGCUGCCUGCAUAAUUUCAAAGUUUUAUGACUUGCCUUGCAGGCUCCUAUUGAUUGGGGUCCUCUCUGGCUGAUGGAGCUUUUAGUAUGGCCUGGACUGGGCAAGCAAGGCUGGAAUCUCAGCCUGUCCAGAUUAGCUAAAGCACAGCUUAAAACCUCUGUGGCAUGAGCUGCUCCUGGGAGAGUCUCCAUGUGCAUGAGUCCACACCAGAGCUGUUUGCACUUUGAGGUGCUUUUUGCUUCUCAGGACUCCCCAUGGGCCAUGCCACAUCCCACAUGGGGUUUAACCUGGAGAAUUAUUUUGCUGUGUGGGUUUGACGUGGCCUUAGGAGUUGGAGUGAGGGCAUCUUGAGGGGUUUCUGUCCUGCUGAGGCACCAGGCACUGCUCACUGCCCACUGGGGCAGAGGGAUGCUCGUGGGAUUUGGAGUUUCUGUGCAGCACCCACUGCUGGGUGCCAGCAGCAGCUUCCCCAUGGGUCACACUGUGCGGGCACAGACACACAUGGGCGGCAAGGAAACCAGGAGCAUCUCUCCACAGAUGUCAUCUGCCCUGUGGCUUGGAGAGGAGCUGGCAUCACCUUCACUUUCAAGCUCUCCCUGCUACAGCUGGAGCCUGUGGGGCUUCAAGAGCCAUGGCACAGCCAGGGAGGGCCACAGACCCUCCUUGGUGCUGAGAGGGGGGUGGGUGCACCCCCAGCCCAAGCACACCCACACCUGCCAUGCCACCACUUUCUCUGGGUGCCACACUCAACUGGGGCCUUUGCCCCUCCACCCCAUGCACAGAGCUGGGGCUGCUGGCCAGGAACCCCUUCCCAGUGGCUGUCUGACCUCAGAGAAUGCACAGGAGUGGCGGCGAGUGUGGCCAACCUAUAACUCUGCAGCCACAGAAUUGGCUACUUCCAGCCUCUCCCAAUGUUUUUGUCCUUGGGGGGCCCCUGCUCUCACUCCCUGUUCCCCCAAGCCCAGGGGGCCAGUGCAUGGCUGGGCUGGAGUUUGGGACAGCAGGAGGGAGGUGGUGGGAGACCCCCUGGCUCCUUUAAGAAACCCACAACCAGCUCCAGAAAUCAGCUCAAGGUCACAGCGGGAACCUGCGGACUUGGCAGCAGCCAGCAAGGGAGGAGGGAUGGAGGGAGGGAGGGAGGGAAGCAGCCCGAGAUCAAAAUGAAAUCACAGCCAGGGAGAGGGGCUGGCUGGCAGCACAGCAGAGGCAGGAGGGAAGGUGGGGAGCAGCUGAGCAGGAUUGCAGGGGAGUCCCACCCGUGGGUGUCCCCCCAGGAUUGCUGCAGCCCCAGCCCCAGCACAGAACUUUGAAGCUUCCCUGUGCCCCCCAGCUCAGAGCCCCGUGCCCUCUGCAGCUCCAGCCAAUGUGCCCAUGGUGAUUCAAGCCAAGGAAAGUCCCUCUGUCCCCGGGAGCCACCCUGGGAAUGCUGGAGCCACUUCCCUCCCACGGGACUUCCUGGGCUCCACAGGAGGUUUUCCAGCUCCAAGAGGAGCAGAGCAGGAGGAAGCUGCUGGCUGGGAGAGUUGUAUCCUGCAGCUCAUGGCAUGGUCCAUUCCCAAACUUUUACCUUAUUUUCUUUUAAAGCAGCAGCUCCCCGAGUCCUGUGAUCACUGCCGAGUCUCUGCCUUCUUUUUGGGCAGGAGAACCUUUGGACCCACCCUCACCAGAGACCACAGUGGACAAAACCAAGUCUUUAAAGGCUCAAGGUGGUUAAUGCAAAUUAAUUAAAAGCUCACAUGAUUUUA